rnacentral:rRNA from 1 species
CGUUAACGAACGAGACCUUAACCUGCUAAAUAGCUAGGCUUAACAUUGUUAGGUCGUCAGCUUCUUAGAGGGACUGUCAGCGUCUAGCUGACGGAAGUUUGAGGCAAUAACAGGUCUGUGAUGCCCUUAGAUGUUCUGGGCCGCACGCGCGCUACACUGACAGAGCCAGCGAGUUUAUAACCUUGGCCGAAAGGUUUGGGUAAUCUUGUGAAACUUCGUCGUGCUGGGGAUAGUCCAUUGCAAUUAUUGGACUUGAACGAGGAAUUCCUAGUAAGCACAAGUCACUAGCUUGUGCUGAUUACGUCCCUGCCCUUUGUACACACCGCCCGUCGCUACUACCGAUUGAAUGGCU